rnacentral:rRNA from 1 species
UGCCCUUUAGUACGGCGAGUGAAGCGGCAAAAGCUCAAAUUUGAAAUCUGGUACCUUCGGUGCCCGAGUUGUAAUUUGGAGAGGGCAACUUUGGGGCCGUUCCUUGUCUAUGUUCCUUGGAACAGGACGUCAUAGAGGGUGAGAAUCCCGUGUGGCGAGGAGUGCGGUUCUUUGUAAAGUGCCUUCGAAGAGUCGAGUUGUUUGGGAAUGCAGCUCUAAGUGGGUGGUAAAUUCCAUCUAAAGCUAAAUAUUGGCGAGAGACCGAUAGCGAACAAGUACAGUGAUGGAAAGAUGAAAAGAACUUUGAAAAGAGAGUGAAAAAGUACGUGAAAUUGUUGAAAGGGAAGGGCAUUUGAUCAGACAUGGUGUUUUGUGCCCUCUGCUCCUUGUGGGUAGGGGAAUCUCGCAUUUCACUGGGCCAGCAUCAGUUUUGGUGGCAGGAUAAAUCCAUAGGAAUGUAGCUUGCCUCGGUAAGUAUUAUAGCCUGUGGGAAUACUGCCAGCUGGGACUGAGGACUGCGACGUAAGUCAAGGAUGCUGGCAUAAUGGUUAUAUGCCGCCCGUCUUGAACCACACGAACAC